CAGUCGCCACGGUAAUACGAAGGGGGCUAGCGUUACUCGGAAUGACUGGGCGUAAAGGGCGCGUAGGCGGAUGGCACAGUCAGAUGUGAAAUUCCCGGGCUUAACCUGGGGGCUGCAUUUGAUACGUGUUGUCUAGAGUGAGGAAGAGGGUCGUGGAAUUCCCAGUGUAGAGGUGAAAUUCGCAGAUAUUGGGAAGAACACCGGUGGCGAAGGCGGCGACCUGGUCCUUUACUGACGCUGAGGCGCGAAAGCGUGAGGAGCAAACAGGAUUAGAUACCCCAGUAGUCCCUGUCUCUUAUAC
rnacentral:rRNA from 1 species